AUUUAUGUAGAUUAUUUAAAAUCAUUAUAUUUUCAAUAUAAAAUAAAUUUUUAUUAUAAGAGUUUGUAAAUA
rnacentral:tRNA from 1 species